rnacentral:snRNA from 1 species
ACUCAAUUCGGCAGCAUAUAUACUAAAAUUGGAACGAUACAGAGAAGAUUAGCAUGGGCCCUGCACGAGGAUGACACACAAAUUCGUGAAGCGUUCCAUAUUUUU